UACGUAGGGUGCGAGCGUUGCCCGGAUUUAUUGGGCGUAAAGGGCGCGUAGGCGGCCACGCACGUCCGUUGUGAAAUCGCCCGGCUCAACUGGGCGGGUCAGCGGAUACGGUGUGGCUAGAGCAAGCUAGGGGGCAAUGGAAUUCCCGGUGUAGUGGUGGAAUGCGUAGAUAUCGGGAGGAACACCAGUGGCGAAGGCGGUUGCCUGGAGCUUUGCUGACGCUGAUGCGCG
rnacentral:rRNA from 1 species